AUUGAACGCUGGCGGCAGGCUUAACACAUGCAAGUCGAGCGAGCGGCGGACGGGUGAAUAAUGUCUGGGAACCUGCCUGAUGGAGGGGGAUAACUACUGGAAACGGUAGCUAAUACCGCAUACCAUCAGAUGUGCCCAGAUGGGAUUAGCUGGUAGGUGGGGUAAUGGCUCACCUAGGCGACGAUCCCUAGCUGGUCUGCGAGGAUGACCGGCCAAACUGGAACUGAGAAACGGUCCAGACUCCUAGGGGGGGCAGCAGUGGGGAAUAUUGCACAAUGGGCGAAAGCCUGAUGCAGCCAGCCCGCGUGGGUGAAGAAGGCCUUCGGGUUGUAAAGCACGUUCAGCGAGGAGGCGUUACUCGCAGAAGAAGCACCGGCUAACUCCGUGCCAGCAGCCGCGGUAAUUC
rnacentral:rRNA from 1 species